AGAGUUUGAUCCUGGCUCAGGAUGAACGCUAGCGAUAGGCCUAACACAUGCAAGUCGAGGGGUAACAUUAGAGCUUGCUCUAGAUGACGACCGGCGGAUGGGUGAGUAACACGUAUGCAACUACCUUUAACCGAGGGAUAACCCGAUGAAAGUCGGACUAAUACCUCAUAUUAAUAUGAUCCGCAUGGGUUAUAUUUAAAAGAUUUAUCAGUCAAAGAUGGGCAUGCGUAUGAUUAGCUAGUUGGUGAGGUAAGGGCUCACCAAGGCAACGAUCAUUAGGGGUUCUGAGAGGAAGGUCCCCCACACUGGUACUGAGACACGGACCAGACUCCUACGGGAGGCAGCAGUGAGGAAUAUUGGUCAAUGAGCGCAAGCUUGAACCAGCCACGUCGCGUGCAGGAUGACUGUCCUAUGGAUUGUAAACUGCUUUUUCACAGGAAUAAUUAUAUCUACGCGUUAGGUAUUUGCAAGUACUGUGCGAAUAAGGAUCGGCUAACUCCGUGCCAGCAGCCGCGGUAAUACGGAGGAUCCGAGCGUUAUCCGGAUUUAUUGGGUUUAAAGGGUACGUAGGCGGGCUAUGUAAGUCAGCGGUGAAAUUUUGCAGCUUAACUGUAAGCGUGCCGUUGAAACUGCUAGUCUUGAGUGUAGAUAAGGUAGGCGGAAUGUGUUGUGUAGCGGUGAAAUGCAUAGAUAUGACACAGAACCCCGAUUGCGAAGGCAGCUUACCGGGUUACCACUGACGCUGAGAGUACGAAAGCGUGGGGAUCAAACAGGAUUAGAUACCCUGGUAGUCCACGCAGUAAACGAUGAUUACUCGCUGUUUGCGAUAUAUAGUAAGCGGCCAAGCGAAAGCAUUAAGUAAUCCACCUGGGGAGUACGUUCGCAAGAAUGAAACUCAAAUGAAUUGACGG
rnacentral:rRNA from 1 species